CCUACGGGAGGCAGCAGUGGGGAAUUUUGGACAAUGGGCGCAAGCCUGAUCCAGCAAUGCCGCGUGAGUGAAGAAGGCCUUCGGGUUGUAAAGCUCUUUUGUCAGGGAAGAAACGGCUGAGGCUAAUACCUUCGGCUAAUGACGGUACCUGAAGAAUAAGCACCGGCUAACUACGUGCCAGCAGCCGCGGUAAUACGUAGGGUGCAAGCGUUAAUCGGAAUUACUGGGCGUAAAGCGUGCGCAGGCGGUUUUGUAAGUCUGACGUGAAAUCCCCGGGCUCAACCUGGGAAUUGCGUUGGAGACUGCAAGGCUGGAGUCUGGCAGAGGGGGGUAGAAUUCCACGUGUAGCAGUGAAAUGCGUAGAGAUGUGGAGGAACACCGAUGGCGAAGGCAGCCCCCUGGGUCAAGACUGACGCUCAUGCACGAAAGCGUGGGGAGCAAACAGGAUUAGAUACCCUGGUAGUCCACGCCCUAAACGAUGUCUACUAGUUGUCGGGUCUUAAUUGACUUGGUAACGCAGCUAACGCGUGAAGUAGACCGCCUGGGGAGUACGGUCGCAAGAUUAAAACUCAAAGGAAUUGACGG
rnacentral:rRNA from 1 species